rnacentral:rRNA from 1 species
GGUCCUACGGGAGGCAGCAGUCGGGAAUAUUGCGCAAUGGAGGAAACUCUGACGCAGUGACGCCGCGUGCAGGAAGAAGGUUUUCGGAUUGUAAACUGCUUUAGAUAGGGAAGAAAAAAAUGACAGUACCUAUAGAAUAAGCUCCGGCUAACUACGUGCCAGCAGCCGCGGUAAUACGUAGGGGGCAAGCGUUAUCCGGAUUUACUGGGUGUAAAGGGAGCGUAGACGGCUGUGCAAGUCUGAAGUGAAAUGCCGGGGCCCAACCCCGGAACUGCUUUGGAAACUGUACAGCUAGAGUGCAGGAG